GAGGAUAUAGCUCAAGUGGUAGAGUGCAUGCUUAGCAUGCAUGAGGUCCUGGGUUCAAUCCCCAGUGCCUCCU
rnacentral:tRNA from 1 species